rnacentral:rRNA from 1 species
UACGUAGGGGGCAAGCGUUGUCCGGAAUUAUUGGGCGUAAAGCGCGCGCAGGCGGUCAUUUAAGUCUGGUGUAUAAACCAAGGGCUCAACCUUUGGACACAUUGGAAACUGGGUGACUGGAGUGUAGGAGAGGAAAGUGGAAUUCCACGUGUAGCGGUGAAAUGCGUAGAGAUGUGGAGGAACACCAGUGGCGAAGGCGACUUUCUGGCCUAUAACUGACGCUGAGGCGCGAAAGCGUGGGGAGCAAACAGG